rnacentral:rRNA from 1 species
UACGUAUGGUGCAAGCGUUAUCCGGAUUUACUGGGUGUAAAGGGAGCGCAGGCGGCGCGGUAAGUCCGAUGUGAAAACCCCCGGCUCAACCGGGGGACUGCAUUGGAAACUACCGGGCUGGAGUGCCGGAGAGGUAGGCGGAAUUCCUGGUGUAGCGGUGAAAUGCGUAGAUAUCAGGAGGAACACCAGUGGCGAAGGCGGCCUACUGGACGGUGACUGACGCUGAGGCUCGAAAGCGUGGGGAGCAAACAGG